rnacentral:tRNA from 1 species
CACCAGAGGGUGCAAUAAGACUUG